rnacentral:tmRNA from 1 species
CACAUAGCCGGUAUCAAGCCCGGCCCGAUCAAAGCAGUUUCGUUGGCAACUACGAAAGAUGGCGCUGAAACUCUAAGCGGAAGAAAGUCGGACGCGGGGGCGGUACCCGCCGCCUCCACCAUGGAUACACCGGCCAGUGCGGGAUACCCGUUUAAGGCCCAUCGGUUUGAUCGUCCGGCUCGCUAAGACAGGUGCGAGAGCUGCGAAUUCCGGUGUAUCUCUGAUGGGGGCGAAACAGGAUCGACGGCUUUUGGAAGACUGGAAUUGUGCUCGGGGUGGUUCCCGUGAAUGACCAAACCUGAACUGCGAACGACAACCUCGUUCAUGCCGAUCUGCGCCUCGCCGCGUAGCUAAGCCGGGUCGCCGUCCACCUGGGAACCGAAGGACGGCAUC